UACAGAGGGGGCAAGCGUUAUUCGGAAUUAUUGGGCGUAAAGGGCGCGUAGGCGGCUUGGCAAGUGGAAGGUGAAAUCCCUCGGCUUAACCGAGGAACUGCCUUCCAGACUGUUAGGCUUGAGACCGGGAGAGGUGAGUGGAAUUCCCAGUGUAGCGGUGAAAUGCGCAGAUAUUGGGAGGAACACCAGUGGCGAAGGCGGCUCACUGGACCGGUACUGACGCUGAGGCGCGAAAGCGUGGGGAGCGAACAGG
rnacentral:rRNA from 1 species